AAAAUGGGGGAUUGCCUCAUUUCUUGACAAAAAAACUUGUGGGAAAUAUCUUGACAAAAAAUUCCUUUGGCAAACAGACAACAACGCACCGGAAAGAAGCCACAUCCUCAGGCAGGCAUGGGCAUGAAUUGUGAGUGAAAGGUCCCCUUAAAAAGAAAGGGACUGAGCCAAGGUGAAAUUGUCGAAGCAAGAAAAGGGAAAUAGGCAGAGAAUUGGAGAGAGCCUUGAUAAUUAUUCUGAUAUUAUAAUGCUUCUUAACCAGUGAGGUAUCUGUUGCUGCACUUUCUAACUGGUUCGGCUGUGCGCUGGGUGGUCGACAAAGGCAGGGAGGGAGGAAAUGCAAAGAAGAGCAUCAUGGGAUGCUCUACCCAGCACAUCCCUAGUGGAGAUAUUUUGCAGAACCCCCAUCAAAGAUCGCUUUUGCAGCCUCCCUCUGGUAUGCAGAUCGUGGGCCGACGUUUCUCGCAACCCUCGGUGCUGGGCUUCUAUGAUCCCGGCCGAACACUCAUCAUCUGCUUGUGCUUUUGAUGAUGCCUUCAUCAAACAUUCUUCUUCUUCUUCUUCUUAUAGUCGUCUUGACAGCCUCGCUUUUGACGACCCUUUUGACGGGCGGCGCAGCCCCGAUUCCGACCGCGGACUUGCUAUGCUCCGGUCACUGAUUACCAGAGGGGCUGGCGGAGCUGCCGUUACUUCUCUCUAUUUCUUCCCUUUUCUUACUUGUGUCGAGGCUUUCCGUCCCAAUGAUGACGCCCUCCUUCGUCUCAUUGCACAAAGUUGCCCAAACUUGAGACACCUUUCUUUUCAUGGAUCCUACAAUGCAACUGAGGGAGCAAUUUUGGAAGUAAUGAGCAAAUGCCCAAAACUAGAGCUUAUUGACUUCUCCGACUCCCCAUACUUCACUCCUACAGUUUUAGAACACAUGAGCACUUGCUGUCCCGAUGUUAGGGGGAUUAGAAGAAAUGGAUUCUGCUCUUGCUGUAGGCUUUCCAAAUUUGAGGAUCUUGAAUCUCUCUGGUUCAACUAUUGUUGAUAAAGAUCUACUAACUAUCAUGACUGCAAGAAUUGGGAUUCAGUACCUAGACAUUACCAAUUGCCAGCAGUUGAAGUGUUACAUGCACAUCAUAAAGCGAGCCCCUGUUCAGAUAUCCCAAAUCCUGUUUGAUUGAGAUUCAAGAAUUGAUUACUACCAGCUAUUGAACCUUGCGAGUGCCUGCUUGUAUAACCUUCAAAAUGGUGAGUUUACCAGAAUAGAACUCCAGACUCCAGAGUCGUGUGUGGUUGUUUUCUUCCUUGGCAAUGACUUGCUGUCACAUAAAAAAAAUGCAAGUUGCUGACUUUCAUGGGAUUGGGCUCUUCUCGUAAAUGAUGGUGAAGAGGAGCAAAUAGCUUAUUCCAAUUGCCGUGCCAGGACAGACAGCCAGUUUGUUCCACAGAGCACUUUUGAAGUUUUAGUCUUUGGGCGGCGUUAUUGCCGGAAUAAUUUUGCUCAACAAGACAAAUGGUCAGGGCUCCCCCAAUCAAACCAAUUACCGCUGGAACCCAGUUGCCCUUAUAUUUAACCAUCUUCUUGCCCGACAAAUCAAGAAUCUCACGCCAGCAACUCCACCAAUUACAAUCUCAUAUUUGUCCAAAGAUGAUGGUGCAAGGUGCAAGGUGCAAGGUCGUGGAAUUUGGAACAUUGAACAUCACAAAUUGUCACGCUGCCUGAAGUGUCCACCUCAUAUGACUUACCAUCAUCAUGGGUACGAAUCUUAAAAGGGGAAUAUCCUAGCUUGCAAAAUUUCAAUUGGAACAUGUAGCAGAUACAUUCUUGGCCAAGACGGAACGUGCUGAGGUUGGGUCAAAGAAAGGUGGCGGAAUCUUAUUUUUAAUGGAUAUUGAGGGAGUCACGAGCCUGCUUGUGGACACAAUCCAUGGGCGAAUUAUUGAGCCUUCGAAGGAGAAGCUGGUUAUAUAUAUGAUGGAUUCACGAGAUGGAUCCGCCCUGCGCAUCCUUUUAAGGUGCAGAAUUUCUAAUCGUAUCUUUGAUUUGAUAAUGGAUGGUGAUAGCUAUCGAAAUAUCUCAUCUCUAGCACCAUAUGAAUGGCUAUAACUAUUUGGAAUGGUACACUUUCGCUGCCGCGUCACCGCCCCUGUGACCAAAAGUACAAGGGGAGGCUCAAUUGAACUUACAAGAAACAAGUGGAGACUGAACCACUAUCGGAUCAGACGGGUGCACUACGCACCCAUCUGAACAUUUUAGAAGAGUCUCUUAUUGUGACAAUUGAUGGAAAGUAAGGUUCGAAACCUUGACCUCCCAGACUUGUGGUUAUCAUAUAUUAUCUCUAGCACCAUAGGAAAUUUGUUAAAAUUGACUGUUGAAGAGCAUUCCAAAUCUCAUAGGAUUGGUUGGAUAAAAGGGAUAGAAUUUGUUGAGGU